rnacentral:rRNA from 1 species
GAUGAACGCUGGCGGCGUGCCUAACACAUGCAAGUCGAGCGAUUUACUUCGGUAAAGAGCGGCGGACGGGUGAGUAACGCGUGGGUAACCUGCCCUGUACACACGGAUAACAUACCGAAAGGUAUGCUAAUACGAGAUAAUAUACUUUUAUCGCAUGGUAGAAGUAUCAAAGCUUUUGCGGUACAGGAUGGACCCGCGUCUGAUUAGCUAGUUGGUAAGGUAACGGCUUACCAAGGCAACGAUCAGUAGCCGACCUGAGAGGGUGAUCGGCCACAUUGGAACUGAGCCACGGUCCAAACUCCUACGGGAGGCAGCAGUGGGGAAUAUUGCACAAUGGGCGAAAGCCUGAUGCAGCAACGCCGCGUGAGCGAUGAAGGCCUUCGGGUCGUAAAGCUCUGUCCUCAAGGAAGAUAAUGACGGUACUUGAGGAGGAAGCCCCGGCUAACUACGUGCCAGCAGCCGCAGUAA